GACGAACGCUGGCGGCGUGCUUAACACAUGCAAGUCGAACGAUGGAGCCGGAGCUUGCUCUGGUGAAUUAGUGGCGAACGGGUGAGUAACACGUGAGUAACCUGCCCUUGACUCUGGGAUAACUGCUAGAAAUGGUAGCUAAUACCGGAUACGACCCUCGGAGGCAUCUCCAGGGGGUGGAAAGCAUUUCGGUCAGGGAUGGACUCGCGUCCUAUAAGCCAGUUGGUGAGGUAACGGCUCACCAAGGCGACGACGGGUAGCCGGCCUGCGAGGGUGACCGGCCACACUGGGACUGAGACACGGCCCAGACUCCUACGGGAUGCAGCAGUGGUGAAUAUUGCACAAUGGGCGCAAGCCUGAUGCAGCAACGCCGCGUGAGGGAUGACGGCCUUCGGGUUGUAAACCUCUUUUAGUAGGGAAGAAGCGAAAGUGACGGUACCUGCAGAAAAAGCACCGGCUAACUACGUGCCAGCCGCCGCCGUAA
rnacentral:rRNA from 1 species